CGUGUGGCUAACGCCACACGCUAAUAUCUAUCGGUGCUCUGCACCU
rnacentral:ncRNA from 1 species